UACGGAGGGAGCUAGCGUUGUUCGGAAUUACUGGGCGUAAAGCGCACGUAGGCGGCUUUGUAAGUUAGAGGUGAAAGCCCGGGGCUCAACUCCGGAAUUGCCUUUAAGACUGCAUCGCUUGAAUCCAGGAGAGGUGAGUGGAAUUCCGAGUGUAGAGGUGAAAUUCGUAGAUAUUCGGAAGAACACCAGUGGCGAAGGCGGCUCACUGGCUCGGUACUGACGCUGAGGUGCGAAAGCGUGGGGAGCAAACAGG
rnacentral:rRNA from 1 species